rnacentral:rRNA from 1 species
AUUGAACGCUGGCGGCAGGCCUAACACAUGCAAGUCGAGCGGAUGAAGGGAGCUUGCUCCUGGAUUCAGCGGCGGACGGGUGAGUAAUGCCUAGGAAUCUGCCUGGUAGUGGGGGAUAACGUCCGGAGACGGGCGCUAAUACCGCAUACGUCCUGAGGGAGAAAGUGGGGGAUCUUCGGACCUCACGCUAUCAGAUGAGCCUAGGUCGGCUUAGCUAGUUGGUGGGGUAAAGGCCCACCAAGGCGACGAUCCGUAACUGGUCUGAGAGGAUGAUCAGUCACACUGGAACUGAGACACGGUCCAGACUCCUACGGGAGGCAGCAGUGGGGAAUAUUGGACAAUGGGCGAAAGCCUGAUCCAGCCAUGCCGCGUGUGUGAAGAAGGUCUUCGGAUUGUAAAGCACUUUAAGUUGGGAGGAAGGGCAGUAAGUUAAUACCUUGCUGUUUUGACGUUACCAACAGAAUAAGCACCGGCUAACUUCGUG